rnacentral:rRNA from 1 species
GACGAACGCUGGCGGCGUGCUUAACACAUGCAAGUCGAACGGAAAGGCCCUGCUUUUGUGGGGUGCUCGAGUGGCGAACGGGUGAGUAACACGUGAGUAACCUGCCCUUGACUUUGGGAUAACUUCAGGAAACUGGGGCUAAUACCGGAUAGGAGCUCCUGCUGCAUGGUGGGGGUUGGAAAGUUUCGGCGGUUGGGGAUGGACUCGCGGCUUAUCAGCUUGUUGGUGGGGUAGUGGCUUACCAAGGCUUUGCCGGGUAGCCGGCCUGAGAGGGUGACCGGCGACAUGGGGCCUGAGAUACGGCCCAGACUCCGACGGGAGGCAGCAGUGGGGAAUAUUGCACAAUGGGCGGAAGCCUGAUGCAGCAACGCCGCGUGCGGGAUGACGGCCUUCGGGUUGUAAACCGCUUUCGCCUGUGACGAAGCGUGAGUGACGGUAAUGGGUAAAGAAGCACCGGCUAACUACGUG